UUAAAAGUCGCAAAAAUUGGCGAUUUUGUUUUACGAUUGGUGGGCCCAUCUCCUCUUGUCUAAUGCAUAAGCUGUAGGUAAGCCAUUGUCUGCGGUCGGUGCGGUUUUAGCGUCAGCUCUCUGUUGGCGCUCGUCAAGCUGGAAGUUUAUGGGAGCAGCAGAGUGUCCUGAUCGACGCGGAAGCAGCGUUGUUGGCCCAUCUUUUGCAGGGCAUCAAUUAUGUAGAUUUCAGCGGUGAUAAUGGAUACUUCAAAGGACCGUGCGUCGUGAAAUUUCAGGCCUUGGUUGGUUUUUUCUUUCGUAUCGUUUCUCAGGAUCAGCUGGAGUGCAUUGUCGUUGGCUUUAUAAUCCGGAUGCGUUGAGGAUUUUACGUUUAGCAUGAGAAGAGGAAAUGUAUCAUUGUUGUCAAGAGAGAAGCAGGUCGACAUGCGUCUCCGUCGGUCAUAGUUUGUAGUUUGUACCUUAAUUAAUUAGGAAUUAAUU